rnacentral:tRNA from 1 species
GAGCCCGUGGCUCAAUGGUAGAGCGUUUGAAUUUAAUACCAAAGGACGUGGGUUCGAAUCCCAGGUGUUCC